AGUGACCGCUGGCGGCGUGCCUAAUACAUGCAAGUCGAACGGAGUGGCGCACGGGUGAGUAAUAUAUAGCUAAUCUGCCCCUUGCUGGAGGUCAACAGUUAGAAAUGACUGCUAAUACACCAUAGCAAGGGAUGAGACUACAUCGUAUCAGCUAGUCGGUGGGGUAACGGACUACCGAGGCAAUGACGCGUAACGGGUCUGAGAGGAUGAUCAGUCACAUUGGAACGGAGACACGGUCCAAACUCCUACGGGAUGCAUCAGUAGGGAAUAUCGCGCAAUGGGGGACACCCUGACGAAGCAACGCAGCGUGGAGGAUGACACUUUUCGGAGCGUAAACUACUUUUGUUAUGGAAGCGGUACCUAACGAAUAAGCACCGGCUAACUCCGUGCCAGCCACCGCGGUAAUAC
rnacentral:rRNA from 1 species